GAUGAACGCUGGCGGCGUGCCUAAUACAUGCAAGUCGAGCGAACAGACGAGGAGCUUGCUCCUCUGACGUUAGCGGCGGACGGGUGAGUAACACGUGGAUAACCUACCUAUAAGACUAGGAUAACUUCGGGAAACCGGAGCUAAUACCGGAUAAUAUAUUGAACCGCAUGGUUCAAUAGUGAAAGACGGUUUUGCUGUCACUUAUAGAUGGAUCCGCGCCGCAUUAGCUAGUUGGUAAGGUAACGGCUUACCAAGGCAACGAUGCGUAGCCGACCUGAGAGGGUGAUCGGCCACACUGGAACCGAGACACGGUCCAGACUCCUACGGGAGGCAGCAGUAGGGAAUCCUCCGCAAUGGGCGAAAGCCUGACGGAGCAACGCCGCGUGAGUGAUGAAGGUCUUCGGAUCGUAAAACUCUGUUAUUAGGGAAGAACAAAUGUGUAAGUAACUAUGCACGUCUUGACGGUACCUAAUCAGAAAGCCACGGCUAACUACGUG
rnacentral:rRNA from 1 species